AGUGAACGCUGGCGGCGUGCUUAACACAUGCAAGUCGAACGAGAACGGAUUAUAGCUUGCUAUAAUUGUCAGCUAAGUGGCGCACGGGUGAGUAACGUAUAGGUAAUAUGCCUCUUACUAAGGGAUAACAAAUGGAAACGUUUGCUAAUACCUUAUACUCCUUAUUAACAUAAGUUAAUAAGGGAAAGAUUUAUUGGUAAGAGAUUAGCCUGUAUUGUAUCAGUUAGUUGGUGGGGUAAUGGCUUACCAAGACUAUGACACAUAACUGGUUUGAGAGGAUGAUCAGUCACACUGGAACUGAGACACGAUCCAGACUCCUACGGGAGGCAGCAGUGGGGAAUAUUGCACAAUGGACGAAAGUCUGAUGCAGCAACGCCGCGUGGAGGAUGACACAUUUCGGUGCGUAAACUCCUUUUAUAUGAGAAGAUAAUGACGGUAUUAUAUGAAUAAGCACCGGCUAACUCCGUGCCAGCAGCCGCCGUAA
rnacentral:rRNA from 1 species